UGGGGAAUAUUGCACAAUGGGCGCAAGCCUGAUGCAGCCAUGCCGCGUGUAUGAAGAAGGCCUUCGGGUUGUAAAGUACUUUCAGCGGGGAGGAAGGGAGUAAAGUUAAUACCUUUGCUCAUUGACGUUACCCGCAGAAGAAGCACCGGCUAACUCCGUGCCAGCAGCCGCGGUAAUACGGAGGGUGCAAGCGUUAAUCGGAAUUACUGGGCGUAAAGCGCACGCAGGCGGUUUGUUAAGUCAGCUGUGAAAUCCCCGGACUCAACCUGGGAACUGCAUCGGAUACUGGCAAGCUUGAGUCUCGUAGAGGGGGGUAGAAUUCCAGGUGUAGCGGUGAAAUGCGUAGAGAUCUGGAGGAAUACCGGUGGCGAAGGCGGCCCCCUGGACGAAGACUGACGCUCAGGUGCGAAAGCGUGGGGAGCAAACAGG
rnacentral:rRNA from 1 species